GCUCCCUUCAGCGCAACAGAGAGUAAACCUGGAAUGAUACUGACAAGAUUAGCAUGGCCUCUGUGCCAGGAUUAUAGCGAAUUUUUGAAGCAUUCCAUAUUUCU